GAGUUUGAUCCUGGCUCAGAUUGAACGCUGGCGGCAUGCCUUACACAUGCAAGUCGAACGGCAGCAUGAUCUAGCUUGCUAGAUUGAUGGCGAGUGGCGAACGGGUGAGUAAUACAUCGGAACGUGCCCUGUAGUGGGGGAUAACUAGUCGAAAGAUUAGCUAAUACCGCAUACGACCUGAGGGUGAAAGUGGGGGACCGCAAGGCCUCAUGCUAUAGGAGCGGCCGAUGUCUGAUUAGCUAGUUGGUGGGGUAAAGGCCCACCAAGGCGACGAUCAGUAGCUGGUCUGAGAGGACGAUCAGCCACACUGGGACUGAGACACGGCCCAGACUCCUACGGGAGGCAGCAGUGGGGAAUUUGGACAAUGGGCGAAAGCCUGAUCCAGCAAUGCCGCGUGUGUGAAGAAGGCCUCGGUGU
rnacentral:rRNA from 1 species